rnacentral:rRNA from 1 species
UACGUAGGGGGCCAGCGUUGUCCGAAGUUACUGGGCGUAAAGCGCGCGCAGGCGGUUCUGUAAGGCCUGGGUGAAAUCGCCCGGCUCAACUGGGCGGGGGCCUGGGGGACUGCGGGACUGGAGGGGCCUAGAGGCCGGUGGAACUCCCGGUGUAGUGGUGAAAUGCGUAGGGAUCGGGAAGAACACCAGUGGCGAAGGCGGCCGGCUGGGGGCGCCCUGACGCUGAGGCGCGAGAGCGUGGGGAGCGAACCGG